AGGGUUUGAUCCUGGCUCAGGAUGAACGCUAGCGGCAGGCCUAACACAUGCAAGUCGAGGGGUAACAGGGUUUUCGGACCGCUGACGACCGGCGCACGGGUGCGUAACGCGUAUGCAACCUACCUUUAACAGGAAGAUAGCCCCGAGAAAUCGGGAUUAAUACUCCAUAACACUAAGAAGUGGCAUCACUUUUUAUUUAAAGCUUCGGCGGUUAAAGAUGGGCAUGCGUGACAUUAGUUAGUUGGUAAGGUAACGGCUUACCAAGACUUCGAUGUCUAGGGGUUCUGAGAGGAUUAACCCCCACACUGGUACUGAGACACGGACCAGACUCCUACGGGAGGCAGCAGUGAGGAAUAUUGGGCAAUGGACGCAAGUCUGACCCAGCCAUGCCGCGUGAAGGAUGAAGGCCUUAUGGGUUGUAAACUUCUUUUAUACGGGAAUAAACUUAGCUAUGUAUAGUUAACUGCAGGUACCGUACGAAUAAGCACCGGCUAACUCCGUGCCAGCAGCCGCGGUAAUACGGAGGGUGCAAGCGUUAUCCGGAUUUAUUGGGUUUAAAGGGUCCGCAGGCGGACCAGUAAGUCAGUGGUGAAAUCUCUC
rnacentral:rRNA from 1 species